GUGUACUCGUGUCGUCAGACGUUGAACUUUUUGAAUGUUUAUUUUCAAAGUAGAAGCUUUUUUUUUCUCUGCAACACGGCAUUUUUUUGCAGCGAACGUAUUUGCUGCUUCCAUCUACUACGUCUUACCAACACGCAUUGGAAACAUCUCUCGUGCUUAACAGCCCUUCCUCUUUCGACAUACCCUUCACAUCGUUGUGACAAUUCGCCAUCAUCAUUUACUCCAACGCAAAGGCGAAGGCUGUGUAUGUCAGUCAAUACUGUUUGUAAAUCUGAUUUAUUCAAAAUGUUCACAGUUCCGAUUAGUAUCGCAAUGUACGAAGCCAGUCAUCUUCUCUGGUAUGGAAUGAACAGCCCACAUAGAUUCAGGUAAAGUUAUAUGAUGCGCAUCAUUAUGUACAUCUGCAAUUGUGUAUUCUUUCCGAAGACUAUAAGAAUGAUCACAUAAAACCACGGUAUUACUAUCUUCGAGGUUUUGCUGUGUCCCUGUUGAGAAACAUGCGCUCACUGAUGUUCGCUCACAAUGAAAUUCUUUUGCCGUUAUAAAGCUACAUUAUCACUGAGCAACUUGGGCUAUAUUUAUUACUAGAAAAAAUUAGAGAUCUUCAGAAAUCCCUACUACUACCUGAA
rnacentral:misc_RNA from 1 species